UACGGGGGGGGCAAGCGUUGUUCGGAAUUACUGGGCGUAAAGGGUGCGUAGGCGGCUUUCUAAGUUGGAUGUGAAAUCCUCCGGCUCAACCGUGGACGUGCAUCCGAAACUGCUCGGCUCGAGUAUGGAAGAGGGUCGCGGAAUUCCCGGUGUAGAGGUGAAAUUCGUAGAUAUCGGGAGGAACACCAGUGGCGAAGGCGGCGACCUGGGCCAAUACUGACGCUGAGGUGCGAAAGCGUGGGGAGCAAACAGG
rnacentral:rRNA from 1 species